ensembl:misc_RNA Metazoa_SRP Metazoan signal recognition particle RNA
GCCAGGCCCUGUGGCUGGUGCCUGUGAUCCCAGUUCCUGGGGAGACUGAAGCCGGCAGAUUGCUUGAGCUCAGGAGUUCUGGGCUGUAAGGGGCUAUGCUGAUCGGGUGCCCGCACUAAAUUCAGCAUCAAUAUGGUGAUCCCUGGGAAGCUUGGGGUCCCCAGGUUGCCUAAGAAGGGGUGAACUGGCCUAGCUUGGGAACAGAGCAAGUCAAAGCCCCUGUGCCAAUCAGUGGUGGGAUCGUGCCUGUGAAUAGCCCCUGCAGUGUAGCCUGGGCAAGACAGUGAGACACAGUCUCUU